CUAAGCUUAGAUCUGUGGCAAGAGGAAAGGAAGCUCUUACUGCUGUGAAAUGGCAGGACAAAGUCUCACAGCUGAUGCCCUCGCCUUAGCUUUCUGUGCAUGUACCUUGAUCUUGGAGAAGGAUCCUGAGUGCCAGGCGAGCGGCAAGGCCUCGGUCCUGUGUGGCUGUUGGGAUUGCCCAGAGCUGACAGGGAGGAUCCAGAAAAAGCACAGGCUCAGCUAGAGGAGCCCUUGUGUCUGAGCAGCCAUUGCUGAAGCUAGGAGCACCAGAGACACCGUCGGAGGCGUCCCAGGCAGAUGCAGUGUGACCUCUGGAUGUGCAUGGACAGGCCUGGGCAAGGGGUGACGGCAGGGGAGGAGUCCAGGCGCUUGGAGGACGACUCGUCCCUCGUCACUCUGCCUCUGCCUAGCAUGGCACAGCCGGCUUUGCGGGCAGCAGCGGAUAUGUCAGCGCUUCUGGCAGGUUCCUGCGAGUGGCGGGUACGCUCCGACAGCUGCAGCAGAGCAAGUGCGUGCAGCGCGAACUGCUGCUUGGGCUGGCAAGUGGUACCACGUGGAGUUGGUCCAGAAGUGUCACUGCUGGGUUAACUACUAUUGACUGUAUCAACGCACAGGGUGGUGCAGCAAGCGAAUAUACACUUACCACAGCAGGUGACUGGAAGAUGAGGAAGGGCAGCAGGCUCGUUAGAGGACGGGGCGGCUGGAUCUCAGGAAGGAUAAACAUACCAUGCUGGAUGUUGUCACCAUGCUAGAUGGCCUGGAGUGUCGUGGCACAGUGGCCGUGCCUGCCCCACAGCUGGCUUAUUGCAACCCCGCAAGGCAGUGGGUCCAGGCACGAGAGAGUCCCAGCAGACCGUCUUCCUCUCCAUAUCCAGAACUUUGGGCUGGAUCUGUUAUCUGUUAUCUGUCAGAUAACACAGAGUUAUGAAAUUCACUGGCAAAGUAGGUACUCAAAUGUUCUUCUUAGGGUAAAUCUACAUAGAAGGUAAGAGUUUUCUACCAUGAAUAGUUUCUGUUAGCUCAAGUGGUGGGAGGCUGAUGGGAAACUGAUGUUCCAACUAUGUAUGACAACCCUUGUGAGGACUGUGGCGAUAUUUUGAUGUAGCUUUUGUUUAUUUUUCUUACCUCUUUUAAGACUUCAGAAACCUUAUGGAACUUAAUUCACAGAACACUGUUAAUGUUGCAAAGUCAUCCAGAACCGAGGAGAUUAAGGCUGUCCUUGCAGCCUUAUUCAGCUCCCUUUUACAGCAUGAUCUUUAAUGUCACAGCUUUAUAUUAUUUUCUUUUGAAAUGCUUGUAUGUUUUAUUCAGUGCACAAUGUAAGAAGAAUAUAGAGAAAUCAAGAAAUAGUAGAGAAAUGAUGAUGUCAAGGUGACAAACUGUAGAGCUACAUCCACCUCUGAACUCUGCUCAUUAAACUAUCUCCUCUGGGACUUCUUACUUUCCCCUAAGAAGCUUCAAAGUAUUGCUGUUUUCUUUAUAUCAGGCUUCUUCAUCUCUUCCUCUCUUCCUCUGAAUAGUGGGGCUUCUGUUAAUGGAAGUAUUACUACAUGGUGAAUAAAGAGUGCAUAUGUGGCUAAAAGCCAGGGUUAUGGCAAGAUGUCAGACCUUCAAUCGUAACAAUUAGGUGUCAGGAAAAAAAGGCAAAACAAAGUUUUUAAAUUUUUGAAGUGCAUAUAGUGUUUUAUUUACACUUUUCCUCUUCUGACAAACUGUAUAGGAGCAGACCUGAGAUACUGACACAAGCCUGGAGUAGCUAAAGAGACAGGUCUGCUGCAAGCACAGACAAAUGUAUUCCAGUGGGAGAGACGGCCCAUACAUGUGUCGUCUGGGAUCAUCCUGCCCACAGUGAACCAGGACUUGUGGAGAGGAAAUCUCUUUGGGCCGGGAAUGCGUUAACUGUUUGGCGUUGGCUCUUCCAUGAAGGACUGGGUGCAUUUUCCCACAAAGAUAUUGCCUCAGAAGUGCCAUCUUCACUGUAAAACCACUCAGAUUUCCAAGCAGGAGCAGCACCAUUGAUACCACUGAUGUCCUUAAGACCCUGAGGUCUGAGGACAGACCACUGAGUGGAGAGGUUAAAUGAAGGACUGGAGAACUGGAGUUACCACCCAAAAGAUGAGACCAAAAUAAACUCAUAAAUAAAGUUACCUCAUCUCUUACCAUGGAGGCAUCUGGAAUUCAGAAUUGAUAUUUUCUGAGAAACAUCUAAUGGAUCUGGAGAUAAGUGCCCAACUCCCCUUGCGCCUCUGUGGAGUGGAUCGGCUUUGACUUGGGUCAUGCACGGAUGUCCCUGUCAAAGGUACCUUGGCUAUCUGCACAGAAAGGCGGAGCCAUGGAAAGCAAAGGCGGAUUUUCAAAGAUGAGGGUUGAGCUAUCCAGCAGCUUUGAUCAUCCCAGGACACUGCACUGGAACCAGACAACCCAAACCAAAGCAAAGACCAACGAGAAACCCUCAGCGAGCAGCAAGCCCUCCCAGUUUGUAGGGUGAUCUAUGUUCAGGAGGUAGCAGCACUGCUUAGGAAGGAGGAGACCCGAGGCAGGAGAUGGGUUCCCAGAGCAGGAUGCUGUGGCCCCUGGGGUGCCAGCUGCAAGGUCGGGACAUGGCCUCCCCCAGCUCGCCCCUGGCCAGGACACACGGUAACGCGGUGGUGCAUCGCCCGCUCUCGGCCUGCCGGUGCCCUCCUUGCAAGCGGGGAGAGCGAUACUAGCCUUGCUGUAAAACAUUUCCAGGGCUACGUGGGGGUACAUGGGCCCCUUGCGGCCC